UACGUAGGGUCCGAGCGUUGUCCGGAAUUAUUGGGCGUAAAGGGCUCGUAGGCGGUUCGUCACGUCGGGAGUGAAAACUCGGAGCUUAACUCCGAGCCUGCUUCCGAUACGGGCAGACUAGAGGUAGGCAGGGGAGAGCGGAACUCCUGGUGUAGCGGUGGAAUGCGCAGAUAUCAGGAAGAACACCGGUGGCGAAGGCGGCUCUCUGGGCCUGGUCUGACGCUGAGGCGCGAAAGCGUGGGGAGCGAACAGG
rnacentral:rRNA from 1 species